GGCGGACGUAGCCAAGUGGAUCAAGGCAGUGGAUU
rnacentral:tRNA from 1 species